GGAGGUAGAGCUCAGUGGUAGAGCACUUAACUGCAGAUCAAGAGGUUCCUGGUUCAAAUCCAGGUGCCCCCU
rnacentral:tRNA from 1 species